rnacentral:ncRNA from 1 species
GCGUUGUAAGAAAGGAGAGAAAUUAACACUUUUUUCGACAAUGACAGAAUUGAGUUCUUUUGUUUAUACAACACAUAUAGGACUCUUGUCGCUCUACUUU